GAUGAACGCUAGCUACAGGCUUAACACAUGCAAGUCGAGGGGCAGCAUGAACUUAGCUUGCUAAGUUUGAUGGCGACCGGCGCACGGGUGAGUAACACGUAUCCAACCUUCCGUUUACUCAGGGAUAGCCUUUCGAAAGAAAGAUUAAUACCUGAUAGUAUGGUGAGAUUGCAUGAUAACACCAUUAAAGAUUUAUUGGUAAACGAUGGGGAUGCGUUCCAUUAGGUAGUAGGCGGGGUAACGGCCCACCUAGCCUGCGAUGGAUAGGGGUUCUGAGAGGAAGGUCCCCCACAUUGGAACUGAGACACGGUCCAAACUCCUACGGGAGGCAGCAGUGAGGAAUAUUGGUCAAUGGGCGAGAGCCUGAACCAGCCAAGUAGCGUGAAGGAUGAAGGUCCUACGGAUUGUAAACUUCUUUUAUACGGGAAUAAAGUUUCCUACGUGUAGGAUUUUGUAUGUACCGUAUGAAUAAGCAUCGGCU
rnacentral:rRNA from 1 species